ACAAAACAGUAUUUUUUUUUUUCCUUCUCGCCUCCUGUUGUUUCUUCUGCUAGCCUGUGCUUUUUUUCACUCGGGAGAAAGGCUAAGAGGGGUGAAGUGGCAUCAGUACACGGCAUUCAAGCCUUACAGCUUGUCUGGUAUAAAGCAGGGAGUUGACUCUGUUGUCCUUCCUCAUGUUGUCCUUCCUCAUAUAAAACAUUCCGAUGUGUUAGGAUCGAAUAACGUGGUUUCGGCGAUACAGCUGCUUCGAGGCUGUAGAGUAGCCGUGUGAGUAAGGGUCUGAACAGGUUCAGGCAUGGCCACAGCAGGUGUGCAGAUGCAUCAUUUUCUUCAAGUGCCCUGCAGUGGAGCUGCUAGGCUGUGUGUGACACGGCUGGUUUUCAUGCUCACACAGCCGAGUCUGUUAGCACCAAUGUGUGAGACUGCCGGUGUAGAGCAAUGAGACUGUUUCCCACAGAUUUCACAAGGCACGUGCUUACACUUUCUUUUUUCUCUCUGAAGUUGAAGCACUGGUUGGUUUUUUGUUUUCAUUUUUGCUAAUAAGAGUAGUAAGAAGUCAACACAGAGUCAGAUGUUGAAAGCUGCCUUGAAGUUUGCUAUAUCAGCUAUGAGACAGUACAAUGAAGGACUAGCACAACGACCAAAAACUUCAGCAAACAAGUAAAGCCGCGUUUUUCCUCAGGCAACCAUAGGUUGCUGUGAAGCUGCUGUAGCUCUGCAAAUAAAAAGGGAAGGUGACCUCUGAGCUGGACAAUCUCUUCUACCAUCAGCUGUGGAGGAUGGGGUCUUUUUAAGGUGCCAGGUUGAGCCAGGAGACCUGAACCACUGGCAGCAGGAAUGAGGGAAGUGUCCUUUGUUUGCAGGAGAGAUCUGCGGCUGAAGGAGAAGGGCACUGCCAUGUUAUGAACUGUGGUAAGCCUGCUUAAUUCAGCUGCACUAAGC